rnacentral:rRNA from 1 species
CGGAGGGUGCAAGCGUUAUCCGGAUUCACUGGGUUUAAAGGGUGCGUAGGUGGGUUGGUAAGUCAGUGGUGAAAUCUCCAGGCUUAACUUGGAAACUGCCAUUGAUACUAUUAAUCUUGAAUACCGUGGAGGUCAGCGGAAUAUGUCAUGUAGCGGUGAAAUGCUUAGAUAUGACAUAGAACACCAAUUGCGAAGGCAGCUGGCUACACGAAUAUUGACACUGAUGCACGAAAGCGUGGGGAUCAAACAGGAUUAGAUACCCUGGUAGUCCACGCCCUAAACGAUGGAUACUCGACAUACGCGAUAUACUGUGUGUGUCUGAGCGAAAGCAUUAAGUAUCCCACCUGGGAAGUACGAUCGCAAGAUUG